GGGUAGCCGGCCUGAGAGGGCGACCGGCCACACUGGGACUGAGACACGGCCCAGACUCCUACGGGAGGCAGCAGUGGGGAAUAUUGGGCAAUGGGCGCAAGCCUGACCCAGCGACGCCGCGUGAGGGAUGAAGGCCUUCGGGUUGUAAACCUCUUUCAGUAGGGAAGAAGCGAAAGUGACGGUACCUAAAGAAGAAGCACCGGCUAACUAUGUGCCAGCAGCCGCGGUAAUACAUAGGGUGCAAGCGUUGUCCGGAAUUAUUGGGCGUAAAGAGCUCGUAGGUCGUUUGCCGCGUCGAUUGUGAAAAUCUGAGGCUCAACCUCAGACCUGCAGUCGAUACGGGCAAACUAGAGUGUGGGUAGGGGAGACUGGAAUUCCUGGUGUAGCGGUGGAAUGCGCAGAUAUCAGGAGGAACACCAAUGGCGAAGGCAGGUCUCUGGGCCAUAACUGACACUGAGGAGCGAAAGCGCGGGGAGCGAACAGGAUUAGAUACCCUGGUAGUCCGCGCCGUAAACGAUGGGCACUAGCUGUGAGAACCUUCCACGGUUUUCGCGACGCAGCAAACGCAUUAAGUGCCCCGCCUGGGGAGUACGAUCGCAAGAUUAAAACUCAAAGGAAUUGACGGGGCCCCGCACAAGCAGCGGAGCAUGCGGCUUAAUUCGACGCAACGCGAAGAACCUUACCAAGGCUUGACAUAUAGCGAAAAGUGGCAGAGAUGUCAUGUCCGCAAGGGCGCUAUACAGGUGGUGCAUGGUUGUCGUCAGCUCGUGUCGUGAGAUGUUGGGUUAAGUCCCGCAACGAGCGCAACCCUCGUUCUGUGUUACCAGCAUUUAGUUGGGGACUCACAGGAGACUGCCGGGGUCAACUCGGAGGAAGGUGGGGAUGACGUCAAAUCAUCAUGCCCCUUAUGUCUUGGGCUGCACGCAUGCUACAAUGGCCGGUACAAAGUGCUGCGAAAUCGUAAGAUUUAGCGAAUCACAUAAAGCCGGUCUCAGUUCGGAUUGAGGUCUGCAACUCGACCUCAUGAAGUCGGAGUUGCUAGUAAUCGUAGAUCAGCAACGCUACGGUGAAUACGUUCCCGGGGCUUGUACACACCGCCCGUCACGUCACGAAAGUCGGUAACACCCAAAGUUAGUGGCCCAACCGCAAGGGGGGAGCUACCUAAGGUGGGAUCGGUGAUUGGGACGAAGUCGUAACAAGGUAACCGU
rnacentral:rRNA from 1 species